GGGUCGGGGGGACUGGGAGGAACUGGGAGGAACUGGGAGGAACUGGGAGUUGGGGGGGGCAGCAGGGGAAUAGGGGGGCUGAGGUCGUACAAGGAGGUGUUGGGGCGGUAGGCUGUACUGGAUGAACGGGAGAUAUUGGGGAGGGCACGGGAGAUAUUGGGGAGGGGCACGGGGGGAUAUUGGGGAGGGACACCGAAGGUUACAGGGGAUCGCUGGAGCGCACCGGGAAGAGCCGGGCUGCGCUCGGGUUCCUUCGGACGUUUCCGGCGUCGCUCGGGAACUUCCGGCCUCGCUCGGCUCGGCUCGGCUCCUCUCGGCCGCGGCAUGGCCCCGCCGGCGGGGGACGUGUCCCGGGAGCUGCAAGCAUCCGCCGGGCCCUGGGGCGGCCCCGCAUCCACCUGCUGCUGCGUGCCCGCCUGGAGACCAAACCCCGUCGGCUGGAGGAGAGGAUCUUGGCCCUCACUGCCUGGCGCCUGCACCUCUUCGGCCCCACAAUACCGGCCAAGGUGAGCCCUUGCACGGGAAUUUGCACGAGUAAAUGUGCUCAAUUUUCACAUGGUUUGGCACGGGGAUUUACAGAAUGAUUUGCAUAUGGAUGUGCAGAGGGAUCUGAAUGCGUCCAUCCCCCAGCAAAACCCAUUGCAUGAGAAACCACAUGAGGAUUUGCAUGAGCCUGUUCCCUAGCACAAGCGUUUUAUGAGCAUUUGCACAAGGAUUCUCAGAAGCAACUGUUUGCACAAGUCUGCCUUUUUGCACAAACACUCACAUGAAGGCUUAGAUGGGAAUUCGCACAAUAAUUUGCACAAGGAUUUGCACAAAUAUAUGCACGAGGGUUUGCAUGGAGUCCAUCCUCUUGCAGAAGGGUUUUCAUACUGCUGAGCUCUUUCAUAUCUGUUUGCACAAAGAUUUCCAUGAGAAAUUGCACGUGGAUUUGCAUGCCCAUCUGUGUGUCCAUGUGCACAAAGAUUGCUGUUUGUUGCCAGGCUGAAGGUUCUUUGAGCGUGCUGGAGAUUCGCUGCAUCAGUGCCACCAGCCCCACCCAGGUACCCACCACCUCCCAGUGCAGACCAGUAUGGGCCAGUGUGGACUGGUGACCCUCAACUGCUUGCCCAGAAUCACGCCAAGCCUCUCAGUGUGCCCAGUGCCCUUCCAGUGACUGCCAGUACCCCCCUAGUGAUCUCCUUAAGUCAUUCCUUUACCUUAUAAUAGGUAAAGGUCCAUACCUUACCAGUAUGGACCAGUAUGGAUCAGUAUGGACUAGUGGCCCUCCACUGCCUACCCAGUCUCCAUCCACUGACUCCCAGUGCCUCUCAGGCUCUUACAGUAUAUCCCAUUACCUCCCAUUAUGGACCAAUAUGAACCAAUCAGCCUCCACUAUCUUCCCAGUACCCUCCCAGCACCUCUCAGUGACCUCCCAGUACAUCCCAGUGCCUCCCAGUCCCUCUUAGGACAUGGCCUGUUCUAUGUCCAUCGCCCAGUUUCCCGGUAUGUUAGCUUUUCUUCCAAGACAUCCAAAGCCCUCCUCACCCCUCUCAGCACCCUCCCAGUAUAUUCCAGUGUCCUUCCAGUUUGUACAAGUCUCUCAAAUCCCCUCCAUUCCCAUUAGAGAGCCCCAAUCCCCCCAGGGCUCUGCCAACACCCCCACCAAUGCCUCCCAGUGCCUCCCAGUACACCCAGUUCCUAGGUGCGCCUGGACACGGAGCGGGGUCCCCUGGCCCUGGCCCUUGCCAGCCCUUCUGCUGCCGCCUGCCUGGCCCGGGAGCUGGGAGCCGCCCUGGGGCGGGCCCUGCCCUGUGCCCCCCCCGUGUGAGCCAUACUUGGGAUAUGCUGGGAGAGGGUUGGGGUAGGCGGUGGGGGGGACAGGGAGGGGAGUGGGAGGCAUUAGGAGAGGGCGGAAGGGGAAGGGAAGGGAUUUGGGAUAUAGCGGGAGCAGUCUGGGGAGGGAUUAGAUGGCACUGGGUUAUACUGGGAUGAACUGGGCGGGGUCUGGGGGCACUAGGAUGUACAGGGAGGG
ensembl:lncRNA